CAAGCGAAAGCGUUAAGUAUUCCACCUGGGGAGUACGCCGGCAACGGUGAAACUCAAAGGAAUUGACGGGGGCCCGCACAAGCGGAGGAACAUGUGGUUUAAUUCGAUGAUACGCGAGGAACCUUACCCGGGCUUAAAUUGCAGAUGAAUUACGGUGAAAGCCGUAAGCCGCAAGGCAUCUGUGAAGGUGCUGCAUGGUUGUCGUCAGCUCGUGCCGCGAGGUGUCGGCUUAAGUGCCAUAACGAGCGCAACCCUUGUUGUCAGUUACUAACAGGUUCCGCUGAGGACUCUGACAAGACUGCCAUCGUAAGAUGUGAGGAAGGUGGGGAUGACGUCAAAUCAGCACGGCCCUUACGUCCGGGGCUACACACGUGUUACAAUGGGGGGUACAGAGGGCCGCUACCACGCGAGUGGAUGCCAAUCCCCAAAACCUCUCUCAGUUCGGACUGGAGUCUGCAACCCGACUCCACGAAGCUGGAUUCGCUAGUAAUCGCGCAUCAGCCACGGCGCGGUGAAUACGUUCCCGGGCCUUGUACACACCGCCCGUC
rnacentral:rRNA from 1 species